UACGGAGGGGACUAGCGUUGUUCGGAAUUACUGGGCGUAAAGCGCACGUAGGCGGAUUGUUAAGUCAGGGGUGAAAUCCCGAGGCUCAACCUCGGAACUGCCUUUGAUACUGGCAAUCUCGAGUCCGGAAGAGGUGAGUGGAAUUCCUAGUGUAGAGGUGAAAUUCGUAGAUAUUAGGAAGAACACCAGUGGCGAAGGCGGCUCACUGGCCCGAUACUGACGCUGAGGCACGAAAGCGUGGGGAGCAAACAGGG
rnacentral:rRNA from 1 species